UGAGGCAGGAGAAUUGCUUGAACCCAGGAAGUGGAGGUUGCAGUGAGCAGAGAUAGUGCCAUUGCACUCCAGCCUGGGCGACAGAGCGAGACUCCAUCUCA
ensembl:miRNA